rnacentral:rRNA from 1 species
GUCCUUGCCGUAAACGAUGUAUACUUGAUGUAGUUGGGCUCAACCCUGACUGUGUCGAAGCUAACGCGAUAAGUAUACCGCCUGAGGAGUACGCUCGCAAGGGUGAAACUCAAAAAGAAUUGACGGGGGCCCGCACAAGCAGUGGAGCAUGUGGUUUAAUUCGAUGCAACGCGAAGAACCUUACCCAGGCUCGAAAUGUAAUGGACGCAAUCAGAGAUGAUUGUUCCGCAAGGACCAUUAUAUAGGUGCUGCAUGGCUGUCGU